AUGAUCAUCAUUAUCAUUAUCAUCGCUAUUAUUUUCACUACCAUUAUUGCUACAAUAAUUAUUUAAACAAAUGGUUGAUAAAAAUCAUAGUAAUAUGAAAGGUUUCGAUAAUGAAAAUGGUAAUAUUGUGAUGUAUUUCGCUGAUAAAAAUGGGAGUACUAUGAAAGGUUUGGGUAAUAAAAAUUGUAUUAUUUAAAGGUAAUAUGAAAGGUUUUGUUGGUAAUAUGAUAGAAUUACUAAAGGUCUUAACAUAUCUAUAUAUUACAGAAGGUUUGAUUUCUGAAAAUGUAACAGUAUGAAAGGUUUCGAUAACGUAAAUGGUAACAAUAUGAAAGGUUUCGAUAACGAGAAUUGUAACAAUAUGAAAGGUUUCGAUAAUGAACAUGGUAACAAUAUGAAAGGUUUCGAUAACGAAAAUGGUAACAGUAUGAAAAGUUUCGAUAAUGAACAUAGUAACAAUAUAAAAGGUUCGUCAAUGAAAUGGUAGUAUUACGAAAUGUCUCGGUAACAAAACCCAUUGUAUUGUGAAAGGUUUGCUUCUUAGAAAUGGAUGCAUGAAAGGUUUCGUGAUAAUCAUGAAGACAUCGUGAAAGCUUUCUUUAAUAAUAAGGCUAAUAAUAUGAAAUAAUGAAUAACUAAUAAUAUAUAUUAUAGAAUUAUGAAUGGUUUCACUAAUGAAAAUGGUAUGAAAGAUUUUGCUAGUAUGGAAAGUUUAUGUUAAGGUAUCUGAAGAAAUAAUUAGAUAAUGGUAGUAUUAUGAAAGGUUUGGUUGAUGCAUUUUUUUCGUUUCCUAAAUUUCGUUUCCUAGGAUUUAGAAGAAAAUUAUUAACAACAUUCAUACUAUUAUGAAAGGUUUUGCUGUCUAAAAUGAUUGCAUUAUGAUUUUUUUUAAAGAAAGGUUUCGAUGAUAAAGAAGGUAAUAUUAUGAUAAAAAAUGGUUGCAUUAUUUUUUUUUCUGAUAAAGAGGGUAUAUCAAUGAAAGGUUUGAUAAAGAAAAUAAAGUAUGAAAGGUAUCCUAAUAAAAAUGGUAAUGCAUAAUGUCUUUGAUGAUAAAUAAGUACUAUAAUGAUUUUCCUACAAAAAGUAUGAAAGGUUAAAAUGAUAAGUAUGCCAGUAUAAAGUAUAAGGUUUCGAUAACAAAGUGGUAGUAUUAUGUAAUAUUUACUUUAUUGCUAGAAAUGGUUGAUAAUAAAUGGUAUUAUUACGAGGGGUUUCCAUUACAUAGAAUGGCUGAUGAAAGUAGUAGCUUGAAAGGUUUCGUUGAGAAGAAUGUUAAUGUCAUGAAAGAUUUUGAUGAUAAAAUUCGUAGUAUUAUGAAAGGGUUAGUUUACAAAAAUGGUAGCAUUAUGAAAAGUUUACUUCAUAGAAAUUGCGGUAUGAGAGGUUUUAUGAUAAACAUGGUAGCAUUAUGAAAAUUUCCCUAAUAAUAAGGGUAACGUAUUGAAAGGUCUCUUUGAUACAGAGGUACCAUUAAAAAUAAGUUGAUAAAAUGGUAAUACUAUGAAUGAUUUCUUUAAUAUAAACGGUAUCAUUAGGGAAGGUUUCACAUUGAUGAAAAUGAUACUGUUAAGUUACGAUUGGUUGAUACAAGAGACGGCAUGAAAGUUUUCGUUCAUAUGAAUAUAAGAAUUGAAAGGGUUAAUUGAUGAAAAUGGUAUAAAGAAAUGUUACAUUAUGAAAAGUGUAAAUAAGAUAAGCAAAAUUGUAUUAUCAAAGGUUUGGUUGCUGGAAAAGAUAGCAUGAAAGGUUUUAGUGGUAAAUGUGGUGGCAUGAAAGGUUUCGUUUUAAGAUGGUAUCUGAAGAUAUAUCUAGUAACGGAAAUGGUAAGGUGAAAGAUUUGGUUGAUAAAAAGGGUAUUAUGAAGAGUUUUGAUGAAUGAAAGGGUAACUUUAUGAAAGGUUUCGUUUAUAAAAAUGUAUUGUGAAAAUUUUUUGCUGAUAAAAUUGUAUAAUAUAAUAAGGUUUAGAUAAAAAAGUGGUAGUAUUAUGUAAUAUUUAAUUCAUUGAUAAAAAUGGUUAAUGAUAAAUGGCAUUAUUAGGAAGGGCUUCCUUUACAUAGAAUGGCAGAUGAAAAUAGUAGCUUGGAAGGUUUCGUUGAGAAGAAUGUUAGUGUCAUGAAAGAUUUUGAUGAUAAAAUUCGUAGUAUUAUGAAAGGUUUAGUUUACAAAAAUUGUAGCAUUAUGAAAAGUUUACUGCAUAGAAAUUGCGGUAUGAGAGGUUUUAUGAUAAACAUGGUAGCAUUAUGAAAUUUUCCCUAAUAAUAAGGGUAACGUAUUGAAAGGUCUUGUUGAUACAGAGGUACCAUUAAAAAUAAGUUGAUAAAAUGGUAAUACUAUGAAUGAUAUCUUUAAUAUAAACGGUAUCAUUAGGAAAGGUUUCACAUUAAUGAAAAUGAUACUGUUAAGUUACGAUUGGUUGAUACAAGAGACGGCAUGAAAGUUUUCGUUCAUAUGAAUAUAAGAAUUGAAAGGGUUAAUUGAUGAAAAUGGUAUAAAGAAAUGUUACAUUAUGAAAAGUGUAAAUAAGAUAAGCAAAAUUGUAUUAUUAAAGGUUUGGUUGCUGGAAAAGAUAGCAUGAAAGGUUUAAGUGGUAAAUUUGGUGGCAUGAAAGGUUUCGUUUUUAAGAUGGUAUCUGAAGAUAUAUCUAGUAACGGAAAUGGUAAUGUGAAAGAUUUGGUUGAUAAAAAGGGUAUUAUGAAUGGUUUUGAUGAAUGGAAGGGUAACUUUAUGAAAGGUUUGGUUUUUAAAAAUGUAUCGUGAAAAAAAUGUUGCUUAUAAAAUUGUAUAAUAUUAUAAAAGGUUUUGUUGACAUAUAUAAAGGCUUUAAUAAAAAUGUUAGUUUUACGAAAAAUCUUUCAUAAACCGUUGGUUUAUGAAAGGUUUGGGUAAUAGAAAUGGUAGCAGGAAAGGUUUCUUGAUAAUUAUGGUAACAUCAUGAAAGCUUCCCUUAAUAAAAAGAGUAACAGUAUUAAAGAUAAUUACUUUGGUAAAAUUAUGAAUGGUUUCACUAAUGAAGAUAAUAUGAAAGAUUUUGAUGAUAAAAAUGCGAGCAUGAAAGGUUUCGUUUAUACUGCGGGAUCUGAAGAAAUAAUUAGAUGGUGCAAAUAGUAGUAUUAUAAAAGGUUUGAUUGAUAAAAACGUGUUACAGAUUUUCGCUUCUAAAACUGGUAGUAAUUUGAAGAAAAUCAAUGACAAAAUUCACACCAGUAUGAAUGGUUUUGCUGACUAAAAUGGUUGCAUUAUGAAACUUUUUUUAAUGAAAAAUUUCGAUCAUGAAGGUGGCAAUAUUAUGAUUUUAUUGUUGAUAAAAACAAUUGCAUUAAAAAUGUUAAAGUAAUAAAAGGUUUAGAUGAUAAAAGUUAAAGCAUGAAAGGUGUGAUAAACAUGGUAAUAGGAAAAAAAAAAACAUUGAUGAUAAAAACUGAAUUAUGAAAGGUACAAGUAUGAAAGGUUUAACUGAUAAGUAUGCCCGUAUUAUGUAAGAUUUGACUGAUGAAAAUGGGAACAAUAUAAAAGGUUUCGAUAAUAAAAGUGGUAGUAUUAUGCAAUAUGAAGGAGGUGGUUCAUAGAAAUUGCAGCACGAAAAGUUUGUGAUAAACUUUGUAGCGUUAUGAAAGGUUUCCUUAAUAAUAAGGUUAACACAUUAAGAAGUGUCGUUGAUAUAGAGGUAGCAUUAAAAAAAAGUGAUGUUGCUAAAAUGGUAAUGAUUUCUUUUGUAUGAACGGUAUCCUUAUGAAAACAUUAAGUAUUUUUUUUCGAUACAAGAGACAGCAUGAAAGUUUUCAUUCGUAUGAAUAUAAAUAUUUUGAAAGGGUUCGGUGAUGAAAAUGGUAUGAAAAGUUUGCCUGUAAAAAAAGGAUAGAAUAUCAAAAGAGAAUCAUGAAAGGCUUGUUGCUGAAAACGAUAGCAUGAAAGGUUUUAUUAAUAUAAAUGGUAGCACUACGAAUGGUUUUCAUGGUAAAUAUGAUGGCAUGAAAGGUUUCUUUUAUAAAAAGUAUCUCCAGGUAUCUUAAAGUAUAUUUGGUAACGAAAAUAGUAAUGUUAUGAAAAGUUUAUAUGCUAAAAACGGUAUUAAGAAGUGUUUUAAUGAUAGAAAAUGGUAACUUUAUGAAAGGUUUGUAGAUGAAAAGAGGGUAUCAUGAAAAGUAAAAAUUGUAUUACUGUAAAUGGGCUCGUUAACAAACAGGAUGACAUUGAUGAAACUUUCGCUAAUAAAAAUUGUAGUAUUAUGAAAGGCCUCGGUAACAAAACAUAUUGCAUUAUGAAAGGUUUGGUUCAUAGAAAUGGUAGCAUGAAAGGCUUCUUGAUAAUCAUGGUAAUGUUAUGAAAGAUCUUGAUGAUACUGAUGAUUACUUUAAUAAUAAAUGUGGUAGAAGUAUGAAUGGUUUCGCUAAUGGAAAUGGUAUGAAAGAUUCUGAUAAACUGCUAGCAUGAAAGGGUUUCGUUUAUAAGGUAUAUUACGAAAUAAUUUGUAGUAUGUGAAAGCUUUGGUUGAUAAGGAGAGUAAGAUGAAAGGUUUUAUUGAUGAAAAUGGUAUGAAAAGUUUGGUUGAUAAAAUAUGGUAGUAUCAUGAAAAAUAUCCAUUAAAAAAAAAUAUUGAGAAAGGUCGAUGAAAAUUUUAGUAUUAAAAGUUUUAUUAACGAAAAUGGUAAGAUUAAGAAAGGUUUCGUCGAUGAAAAAUGGUAGUAAUAUGAAGAAUUUUAACGAUAAAAUCUGUUCUAUUACGUGAGAUUUGGUAUGAAUGAUAAACGUUUGGUUGAUAAAUAUGGCAAUUUUAAGAAAGGUUUUGCUGAUACAUAAGCACAAUGGUGGGUUAAGCUGACACAAAUAACAUGGAAGACAUCUUAAUAAACAUGGUAAUAUCAUGAAUGUUCUUCAAUGGAGAAAAUUAUACUAUUAUGUGUGUGUGUGUGUGUGUGUGUGUGUGUGUGUGUGUGUGUGUGUGUAUGUGUGUGUGUGUGUGUGUGUGUGUGUGUGUAAUUUUGAUAAGAAAAAAAAUAGAACUAUGACAAGUUUGAUUGGUAACAUUAUGGAAGUUCUCGAUAAUGAAAACGGUAUUAUGCAAAAUUUGGUUGAUGAAAGAGUUUUGCUGAUAUCAAGCUGUAAGAAAAAUGUAAUUACGCACAAGAGAGGUUGAUCAUAAUGGUAGGGUAUGAGGUUUGAUUAAUAAAAAGGGUAAUAUUAAAAUUAAAGUUUUUAGUGAUGCAAUUCGUAGUAGUAUGAAAGUAAUAUAAGGAAAUAUUUGGUUGAUUAAAAUGGUAAUAUUAUGUAAGGUUUGUUAUAUGAAAAUGCUAGCAUUAUGAAGGGUUUUGAUAUAAAUAGUAGUAUUGUGAAAUGUUUGUUUGAUGAAAAAGGAAACACUAUGACAGUGAUAGUACUACGAAUAUUUUGGUUGAUGAAACACGGUAAUAUUAUGACUAUUAUUCUAUAACAAAUUUAGUAUCAAGAAGGCUGAUCAAAAGGAUAGCAUAGAUUUCGUUAAUAGGCAUGGUUGUUUUAUGAAUGGUUUUGAGGAGUUAUAGUUAUGAAGAGCUUCGUUGACAAGACUUGCAGCAAUAUGAAAGGUUUCAUUGCGAAAAAUGGUUACAUUAUUAAAAGUUUAUUAAUAAAAAUGGUAGUAUUAUGAAAGGUUUUGUUUCUAAAAAAAGACGGAAUGAGUGUGAAUGAAUGUGUUAGUAUUAUGAAAGCUUUCGCUGAUGAAAGUGGUGUGAAAGGUUUUGAAUAAUAGCAUGAAAGGUUUUGGUUAUCAUAAGGUACCUUAAGGUAUUUGAUAACGAAAAUGGUAAUAUUAUGAUAGCUUUGGCCGAUAAAAAUGGUAGCGUGGAAGGUUCUAUUGAUGAGUGGUAGUAUGUAGAAAGACUUCACUGAUAAAAAAUGGCACCAUGAAAGAUUUAGAUGAUGAGAUGUGGUAGUAUUAGUCAAGGUUUCUGUAACAGGAAUGGUAGCAAUGAAGGUUUCACUCAUGAAAAUAAUAAGGUUGCAAAAGGUUUCGUCUAUAUAAAUGAAAGGUUUUGAUGAUAAAAUUCAUUCUAUAUUGAAAAGUUUCGUAAGAAUCAUGAAAGGUUUGGUUGAUAAAUAUGGACGUUUUCUGACAGGCUUCGGUGAUGAAGGUAAUAUUUACAAAGUUUGGUUGAUGAAAGCAGUAGCAUAAAAGAAUGAACUGAUAUAAAUGGUAGCAUAUGAGAUUUAUUCUGAAAAAAAUAUGUAACGUUUGCCUGAUAAAAAUGAAAGCAUUAUGAAAGGUUAUUAUGAAGGGUUUUGAUGAAUGAAAGGGUAACUUUAUGAAAGGUUUCAUUGAUAAAGAUGAAUCGUGAAAAAAAAAAAAAAUGCUGAUAAAAUUGUAUAAUAUUAUAAAGGGCUUCGUUGAUAAAUAUGAUGGCUUUCAUAAAAAGGUUAGUUUUACGAAAGAUCUUGGUAACAAAAAACGUUGGUUUAUGAAAGGUUUGGGUAAUAGAAAUGGUAGCAGGAAAAGUUUCUUGAUAAUUAUGGUAACAUCAUGAAAGCUUUCCUUA